rnacentral:rRNA from 1 species
AGCUCCAAUAGCGUAUAUUAAAUUUGUUGCGGCUAAAAAGCUCGUAGUUGAACGUCUGCACGGAGGGACCGAUCCGCCCUUUGGGUGAGUAUCAGGCUCUUUCUGGGCAUCUUCUUGUACAGUGUACUUGCACUUCAUUGUGUGACGUGCCUGUCAAGACAUUUACUUUGAGGAAAUUAGAGCGCUCCAAGCAGGCAAAUGCCUUGAAUAUAUGAGCAUAGAAUAAUGACACCGAAUCACGAUGUUAUUUUGUUGGUUUCUAGCAUUGAGAUUAAGAUCGAUAGAAGUGUCCGGCGGCAUUCAUAUUUCAUUGUCAGAGGUGAAAUUCUUGGAUUUAUGAAAGAUGAACGACUGCGAAAGCAUUUGCCAAGGGCAUGUUCAUUGAUCAAGAACGAAAGUA